rnacentral:misc_RNA from 1 species
AUCCAUCCAGGGUUUGUGAUUGGUCCUGUCUUCCAGCCAACUCUGAAUAUCACUAUGAGGAUUAUUUUGAACUACAUAACUGGUAAUCUUCUCAGUUGUGGAUGUUGCAUAUGCAACUACUGCAAUCCUUCAUGAAUCUGUUUGCUGGAAGCAAUUGUCUUUUUACGUGCAGGUCAAACAUUUCCAAAUGAGACUUUAAGAUCUGUUGAUGUUAGAGAUGUUGCAAAUGCACAUAUUCUAGCAUUUGAAAGAUCUUCAGCCAGUGGCAGAUACUGUUUAGUUGGAACAGUUGUGCACUUCUCUGAGUUUUUGAAGAUUGUUCACAAACAUUACCCAACUCCGCACAUUCCUGAAAAAUGUCAAGAUGACAAGUCUUUUGUUCCAAAACAUGAGGUAUCCAAGGAGAAAGCAAAAGCUUUGGGCAUUGACUUCAUUCCUUUGGAACUGAGUGUUGUAGAUGCCAUUGAAAGCUUGAAGGAGAAAGGCUUUCUUAAUGUCUGAAUACAUAGAGAACUGAAGGAGACAAAUAAAUAAGGAAUUGGAAAGUAGACCUCAAUAAAUAUAUUUUAAUUAUUAUUUUUCCCUUCUUAGUUAUGUUUUAAUUAAUAUUUCCUUUCUAGUAUAAUGAAAGGAGUCACUUGAAUUAAUAAAUUUAAGCAGAAUUAUUUUUAACUAAAUUUGAGAUCUGGACUCUCUUCUCCAAGCAGCCUAAAGUUAGAGCUCCCUUUUAACGAGCUCACGUUUUCAACAACAUCAGGUUGAGGAAAUAAUCGUGAUAAAGCAAAAGUUUUAGCUUUUGAAUCAGAUUUCACUAUUAAUAAGCCCGUGACUCGAUCCUGAGCGAGAGAUCAUAACAACUUGGUAUUAGAGCCGGCUGUCAUAGACGAUACAGAUCCGAGAGAAGAAUUGAGGGCACUAUUCCCAGAAACACAACUAUUGACUAAAGCACGAGUAGCAUAAGCUGAAUCAAGGAUAGAAGAUCAGAUCGAGCAAUCAAAGUAAAAACUGGAAUGCCAAUUGCAAAACUUGUCCCCUUAAUUACAAGAGUUCAGUAAGGAAACUUACAAGAGCCGACACAAGGAAAAAGGGAGCGGCUCAAAUAGCAGUAAUAACAAUGAAGGCAACAAUAAUAGGACAAAUGGAAAAACAGAAGCAAGACCUGGGGCAAGGGUAGUAUCAAGAUAUACGAAAUUGGAUUUUCCAACAUUUGAUGGAUCCAAAGAUCCGUUGAUUUGGUUACACCGAUAUGAACAAUAAUUUUCAAAUCGAUGGGAGCUAGUAUCAGAUAAAGUGAACCUUGCAGCAUUCCAUAUGACAGGAGAAGCACAACUCUGAUUUCACAUAUUAGAACAAGAAGAACCCCUACUAUCGUGGAACGCAUUCAAAGAACAUUGCAAUUUGAGAUUCGGACCUCCACUCAGUAGCAAUCCU